UGCACUCUUUGGUUUCCGGCUCAGUUCCGGCGACUACGUGCGGUCGGUUUACAGGAGACUAGCGCUGCACGUGGAGAGCUGCUUGGCUCUCGCGACUUCGCCCACCCGACCCACAUGUUCGAAGAGCCGGAGUGGGCCGAGGAGGCCCCAGUAGCCACGGGCCUCGAACCUGUAGCUGCACGACCUCGGCCUGUCGCAGCCUCGCAAAUCAAGGGCUCCAAGCACCGUCAGCUCUUGGCCACAUUACGGGCCCUGGAGGCAGCAGCUCUUCCCCAGCAAUCUCCUAGCCUGCCUGGCAGUGACUCUGAGGAGGAGGUAGUGGAAAGGAAGAAGAAACACUCAAAAAAGGCCUCAUUUUCCAAUGUUUCUAUUGAAGUAGAGAAGAAGAGGAAGAAGAAAUGUCAGAAACAGGGCCCACCUGGCAGUGACUCUGAAGAAAAGGAAGUAGAAAGGAAGAAAAAGUGCCUCAAAGGGGUUUUUAAUGCCAGUGACUCUGCUGAAGAAGAGAAAAGGAAGAGGAAACACCAGAAACAGGUCCGCUCAAACCCUGCCCAACACCUGGACAAUGAUGACCAAACAGGUCCCAAAGCUUGGAAGAGUAGAGAUACAAAUGACCUAUCCCAGCCAAGUGCUGGGACCACUUCUGCCAACCCCCCCCACAUCUUGAGUCGCAAGCAGUGGCGCAACCGGCAAAAGAAUAAACGUAGGCAUAAGAAUAAGUUUCGGCCACCUCAGCCACCAGACCAGGCUCCAGCCACAGUCUCCACAGAGGAGACAGAGAUGCCUCCUGACCCCAGUCCACACAGCCAUGAGGAUCGGGCGGGGGCUCUGCGAGCCCGCAUGGCACAACGGCUGGAUGGUGCUCGAUUUCGUUACCUCAACGAACAGCUAUACUCAGGACCUAGCAGUGCUGCACAGCGUCUCUUCCAGGAAGACCCUGAGGCCUUUCUCCUCUACCAUCGCGGCUUCCAGAGCCAAGUCAAGAAGUGGCCACUGCAGCCAGUGGACCGCAUUGCCAGAGAUCUUCGCCAGCGGCCUGCGUCCCUGGUGGUAGCUGACUUCGGCUGCGGGGACUGCCGCCUGGCUUCAAGUAUCCGGAACCCUGUACACUGCUUUGACUUGGCCUCUCUGGACCCCAGGGUCACUGUGUGUGACAUGGCCCAGGUGCCUCUGGAGGAUGAGUCUGUGGAUGUGGCUGUGUUCUGCCUUUCACUGAUGGGAACCAACAUCAGGGACUUCCUAGAGGAGGCAAAUAGAGUGCUGAAGCCAGGGGGUCUUCUGAAAGUGGCUGAAGUCAGUAGCCGUUUUGAAGAUGUUCGGACUUUUCUGGGGGCUGUGACCAAACUGGGCUUCAAAGUCAUCUCCAAGGAUCUUACCAACAGCCACUUCUUCCUGUUUGACUUUGAAAAGACUGGGCCUCCUCGGGUCGGUCCCAAGGCUCAACUCACAGGCCUGAAACUUCAGCCAUGUCUCUACAAGCGCAGGUGACCUCUGGGGCCACCUUGAAAGGGAGGCAAGUCUCGAACUCCAGGCUCAGAACUCUGAAGACUGUAUCCAGCCAGGCUCUGACCCAAGAACGGGGUCAGAAAGAGGAUGUGUGGGAAGAGACCAUGCAGGAUUGCUGUGUAGAGAGCUUAUUGUGAGACAGCACAGCACAGCUGGACUGUCAGGACCUGCCCCCUCACCUCAGCUCUGACUGUGGACUCCACUGGGACCAUUCAGGAAGCUUGAGCUAUUAGGUAGAGAGGAGGUGAGAAGAGCCGAGAGCACACAGAUUAUUCUCCUCCCCAACUCAGCCUCCUUGAGACAUAGUGGUCCUCCUUCCCAGAUGACUUCUCAGACUGGCCACCUGUUUCUAGGAUAUUCAACUACUGUAGCAAUUGCCUUAUUGGUCUAAUUCCAUCACUCCUGCCCCCAAAGCAAUUUGUUUCCCACACAGCCAAGUGAUGUUUUUAAAAUGUAAAUCAGAUAUUGUCAUUUCUCUGCUUAAAAUCCUUCAAUGGGUUCUCAGUGCUCUGAGAACAAAAGACAGACUCGCUCCCAGGCCCUGUGUGAUCUUGCUCAGGCCUUGCUCUCCAACUGCAUCUUAACCCACUCCUUCCUCACAAGACUCCAGCCAUGCAAGCUUUCUUUCAUUCCUCUAGCAUUCCAAGCCAUUCCUGCUGGGUCUUUACACAUGCUGCUCUAUCUUUUUACAGUACUUUUUGUGAUGAGCUCAUUUUCGUCUUCCAGAUCUUCACACCAAAUCCCCGUUUCUUCUUUGGAAGAAACUGGCUAGAUGCUCACCAAAAUGUCCUUUUUAUGGACACAUAGUUAACUAUGUUUCCCAGCUCCUUGCAUCAAGGCGGGGCUAUUGUCUUCGCCAAUGGAAAGUAAGUAGGAGUAAUGCUUUACUACCAGACCAAGGCAAUUAAAGAGUGGAUGAGCCUUCUCCACAUUCUCCCAUCCCCUCUUCUGCCUUCCUGGGUGAGCUUGAAGCAUAUGUUUUAAAGACUGUGGAGUCAAUUGCUUGGAGGAAAUCUGCUUGACCAAGAACAUCCACAUUGGACUUUUCAACAAAAAUAAACCUCUAUUGCAUUAAGUUACUGAGCUUUGGGAAGGUUACAGAGGUUAGUAUUAUAUACUCUGGCUAAUAUAUCUUUUCUGGGCAUCCUGUCCACCUUGCUCUUGACCACAAAACCUUUUUUUGUUUCCCUCAGGGUGCUUCAAACAUGUAAUUAUCUUACCAGAUGCCAGUCAACACUCCUACCUAUCCUAUAACUUUGAAUCUUAAUUGAGAAAAAAACGUCCACGUGAGGAAGUUGAGAUACUCAUUUUAUCAGUUGCAUUUUGAUUGUGACCA